GACGGAGGAUGCAAGCGUUAUCCGGAAUUAUUGGGCGUAAAGCGUCCGCAGGUGGCGAUUCAAGUCUGCUGUCAAAGGUCGGGGCUUAACCCCGGGAAGGCAGUGGAAACUGAAUAGCUAGAGUGCGGUAGGGGUAGGGGGAAUUCCCAGUGUAGCGGUGAAAUGCGUAGAGAUUGGGAAGAACAUCGGUGGCGAAAGCGCCCUGCUGGGCCGGCACUGACACUGAGGGACGAAAGCUAGGGGAGCGAAAGGG
rnacentral:rRNA from 1 species